GUGAUAUUUAUUUCUUCCCAGGGUGACAGAGAACUUAAGGAUAAGAAAAAUCUUUCUAAACUCUAAGCAUAACUGUACAGGGGCAGCAUGAGCAGGAGCUGUCCUGGAGAGGAUUAUACUCUAGGAACUCACGUGUGUUUAAAUACUUCAACCAAUUCCCAACCCUGAGAGAAUCAUGUUGCAGAGAAAAGCAUAAGAUGAGGCCAGUUUCCAGAACAGAAAUGUCACCUGCAUCGUUUUUUAAGAAGUUCAAAUGGACACUCGUGCAUCGAUCGAACAUGAUGUUCUUUUCAUGUGCUGUGUGGACUUGUGAGAUGCUUCAGCAGGCGAUGGCAUUUGGCUCUAGCAUUGCAAAAAAGAAGGACUCACUCAGAGGAGGGUACAAAGACGAGAUUAAGCUAAAGGGGACAAUGCUGCUUUAUUUAUAGCUUAAGGAAGUGAAAGUCAGUCUGCGCUCUGGCUCACCGUUGCUACACACUCAGCCACCCGAGGAUCCUCUAUGCCUCUCCUCCCCUCUGCUGGCCCUGGCAAGCCAGUCCCCUGCCACAGCACAGCCAACAGCAAGAGCUCAACUACUCUAUACAACAGACUGCUGUGAGAAGAGAAUCAUGGUGGAGAGGAAUGUGGGGUUUGAAAGGGUCUUGUUUUCCUAAGUGCUUCUAUGUUUUG
rnacentral:lncRNA from 1 species